AGUGAGUUCUGAAAAGCAUUGUAUCAUUCUCUCCAACACCGAAAUAAGACUUUUGUAGUGAAUUCUGAAUCUAUUAUAUCAAAUAUGAACAAAACAACAAUAAUUUAAGCAAACCACAACACUCCUCAACCAGGUAACUCAUGUUCUUUGACUCUAAUGGAAAUUAGUUUUAAUAAGUUUCAUCAAUCUGAAAAUCAGAAAUUAAUUCUACAAGUAUCUAGAAAUUAGAUUCUCCAUUUCAAUUCAUAAUAUACAAAACUCAGUAAAACAAAAAACAAAAUUUUUUUUGAAAGAUCGUACACAGUAAUAAAUCUAUUCCUUAAUCUAUAUCUUACAGAAAAUCAGGGAAUAUGGAUAUUGUUUGAACAUGAGACAUGAACUCUAUCUCUUGGUCACAACGAAGAAGAUCAUCGAGAACUGAAGUAGAUUUAGAACGAUGGUUUGUGUGUCGUCUCACCUUCGAUCCGAUGCAAAUUAGAUACUCAUCCCCUUUAAUCAAUCGAUUAAUCCACAUGCAAGUAGCCUGAUUACAUAAAAACUCCAAAAUCAUAAGAACGGUUGAAGAAGACGAGAAGAUUCUCAAAAGAGAUUCUUAUUUUAUUUUCUAAUGCAACAUUUUCUGUUUUUUCAUAGAUAUUUCAAAUAAAAGUCCAAAGGGUAAAAUA
rnacentral:lncRNA from 1 species